AGGAUGACAUACUUGCACAAACUAAGUGAUCAGAUAUAUGUCUAUUGGCAGGUUUGCAUGGUUGAUGGCAUCAUCGCUGUUGGGGUGACAUAAGUGACCCUCCCAAACCAAAAGAGCAUGUGUGAGAGCUUCUUCCCAUGCUCUGACACUUCCAUUUUGGGACGAGAUUGAUGCUUCUCCUGAUGUGUAUAUGCAUGCCUGCUCUGCUGUUGUGCUGGCUGUGGCUGCCUGCAUCUCACGCGAGGUUGUUGGCUUAGCUGGCCCGCGGCUUCGACUACCUCCUCGGCGAGUUCACCACGGCGUAACCAUGACGCUCGUGCUCGGCUACAACAUCUCCUGUGAGUUACUGGAUGCAAAAGUGGAAUAGGAUGAGGAAGAUUGUUGAGCAGACUCCUAAGUGGUGGUGGUGGACAUGGUGGUAAAGGGGGAAGCAGUUUUAUUAAUGGAAGCGGUGCUGACGGCGGAACUACAUAUGGUAAUGCCGAUUUGCCUUGUGAACUUGGCAGUGGUAGUGGCAAUGACACCACAGGGUCUUCCACAGCUGGUGGUGGUAUAACAUGUAACACAUAUAUCAAUGAUUUUUGGCCCAUAUUUU